ACACACUGGGGAUUUGACCUCUAUCUCCACUCUCAUUAAUAUGGGUGGCCUAUUUGCUCUUAUUAAAAGGAAAGGGGGAGAUGUUGGGAGCCACGCCCACAUUCGCCGUUACAAGAUGGCGCUGACAGCUGUGUUCUAAGUGGUAAACAAAUAAUCUGCGCAUGUGCCGAGGGUGGUUCUUCACUCCAUGUGCUCUGCCUUCCCCGUGACGUCAACUCGGCCGAUGGGCUGCAGCCAAUCAGGGAGUGACACGUCCGAGGCGAAGGAUAAUUCUCCUAAAAAAGGGACGGGGUUUCGUUUUCUCUCUCUCUUGCUUCUUACGCUCUUGCUUCUUGCACUCUGGCUCCUGAAGAUGUAAGCAAUAAAGCUUUGCCGCAGAAGAUUCUGGUCUGUGGUGUUCUUCCUGGCCGGUCGUGAGAACGCGUCUAAUAACAGCCCAACAACUCCAUUGUUCUUGACUUCUUCGGGCUCUAGCCAGACUCUCCAAAGACAGGGUUGCAUUCCCUUUCCAGUAUGGUCCAUGGAAAACAUGCAGAGGAAAUGGCCCCACAGCAUUGGCUGAGUGUUUAUGUCGUCCAACCGAGUCUCCAUCGAACUGUUGUGGUGUUGCUGACUUGCCCUAGGUCACCUGAGUUAAAAGGGUUGCAUUCCCUUUCCAGCAUGGUCCAUGGAAAACAUGCAGAGGAAAUGGCCUCACAGCAUUGGCUGAGUGUUUAUGUCGUCCAACUGAGUCUCCAUCGAACUUUUCUGGUGUUGCUGACUUGCCCUAGGUCACCUGAGUUAAAAGGGUUGCAUUCCCUUUCCAGUAUGGUCCAUGGAAAACAUGCAGAGGAAAUGGCCCCACAGCAUUGGCUGAGUGUUUAUGUCAUCCAACCGAGUCUCCAUCGAACUGUUGUGGUGUUGCUGACUUGCCCUAGGUCACUUGAGUUAAAUGAGAUGCAUUCCUUUUCCUUCAUGGGCCAUGAGUGACAUCCAGAGAAAGUGUCACCACAACACUGGACAAAAGUUGAUGAUAUCUGAAUGAGCUACCAGUAAACCCCCCCCUUUUUUUGCUGUUAUUGCCUUGCCUGAGGAAAAGCGAGUUAAAAGAUGAUACCUACAGUGAUGAGUUGGAGUUAUAGAUGGUGCCAUUUCUUCUACCAGCAGCUUCACCAAAACAAUCUCCAUUAUACAUGCUGAUGCCUCUUUCCUGUGUAGCAGCAGACACCACCUGCAGAUAAGAAAUGCUUAAGCAUAAGAAAUUCAUCAUACUCAUACCAAUCUACACAAGAGUGAGAUCAUGG
rnacentral:lncRNA from 1 species